UUCCCUGCUUCCUAAUCUCUCCUGACAUAAUGUUGAAAGUUAUUACUUAACUGCAUAAAGAAAACCAUCUGUCAAUUAUUUACCUGCUUACAUGUGGGACCAGGUAGCCAGAAGCUGUUACUGCGAGCCAAGGCAAAUGCCCGGCUUCCAAGAAAGCAGAAAUCCAAUUGCAGUCAUCUGAUUCAACCGUCUAUCUAGGUAUGGAAGUAUUUUGCAUUGAGAAGCAUGAUCCUGCCUGGUAAGACUCUCUUCAUCCAAAUCCUGUCUGGAUUGCAACCUUUACUGGCUUCGGUGGACUUUGGAUCAGACAGUUACUAAUUUGUCUUCAAAUCUUUAUACAAAUGACAACGGCAAGUUUACUAUGUGUGUGAAUUCCUUAAUCUUCUGGGAAAAUUUUAAGUUUACAUUGUAAACCAAAGACCUAACGACUAUUAUAUUUCCUGUGCCAGUCACUGGAAACCUGCCUGAAAAGACAUAGAUCCCCGUGGAGCAACAGCCAGAACCUGGAUCCCAAAAUAUCCCGCAAAAGGCUGCAUGAUGGUGGUUUUAAAUCCAGAAGUUACAGGUUCAGUUGUUACCAAGAAACCCAGGACAACACCAUACCAAAAAAGGGCAUUCUUCUCAGUAAAAUGCAAGUUAAAAACCCAACUUCCUCCAAGUCAUUUGACAAAUAAGAAGCUGCAUUUUUUUCACAAGGAUGUCUUGAUUUCUCUACUCAGUGC